UGAACUAUGAACUCUCAUUAUGAUGUUACGAUGGAGCGUACACCUGUACGUCAUUUGUUGUGCGUUUUAUGCCGUAUUUUGUGUUUACUGCAGUGACGUGAAGUUUUCUCAUGUACUAUGUACCGUGGACAUUUUACGUGGGUUUUUACCUUGUUUGCGGCAACGGCAAAUAGAAGUGAGGUACAGUGAUCCCUCUUUUAUCCCGGAUAAUUGGUUCCAAGAGCAUCCGCGAUAUGUGAUAAUCCGCAAACUUGUUUUUUUUUUAACAUACGUACAUACAUACAUACAUACAUUGUUUGUGUAUCAGUAAGUGUAUAUUCAACCAUAUAAGUGCAUAUGUUAUCAUUAAAAGAUGAAAUAAUAUCCAUUCAUCGGUUACGAUUUGAAGCUUUGCGGGAUUGUAUUGAUAGAAAACAAUUCAUAACAACAAUGAAGCAAGGAGUAAUUACUUUGAUACCCAAGCCUGGAAAAGAUAAGAGACUGUUGGAUGAUUUAAGGACUCGAAUUGUUUUUCUUCUGGAGCAAUCGCAAACAGACUCAAAGAGGGAAGAACGGACAUCGUUCGUCCGGCUUUAUCAAAGGAAGAGUUAUUCAUAACAACAUUAGGCUUGUUUUGGAUUGAAUAGAGACUACGUCUGGUGAUCCCGUGGAAGAUGACGGCUAUGUACUCUUCCUCGAUGUUUGCAAGGCCAUUGACUCUGUUGAAUGAUGCUUUUACUUUAGAAACACUUACCGUAAUUUUCGGACUAACAGUCGCUCCGGAAUAUAGGUCGCAUGAGCCAUAAAAUGCACCAAAAAAAACAUAGAUAAGUCACUCCGGAGUUGUCAAGUGGCUUGGUGGUACAAGAGAGUGUAAAAUUAGGUAUUGGAUUUGGCCCAGGCACAUUGGCUAUCGCAAAACAUGUAGUAGUUCCAAAAUGUCACCAGGAGAUGGUGUUAAAGCUUGACAUAGGGGUGACCUGAUGGAAAUGAACAAAUCUAAUCAAUUAAAUUGUUAGCAAUUGGGAGGAGACGACCUGUUCAAACACGUAGCAACGCACAAUUUUGGAACAUGACUUUGCUAUGCCAUCAUUUUAAGAGCUUGAGCAAUAUCAAUAUAUGUGUUUAAGUUGGAGGAACCCAUUCUUGUGUUAAGUACUAUUAUGUGUUGAGAUUGAUCUUUAUUAGACAAGAUAUAUCUGAUUUAUGUUGCAAUGUUUUGUCCAACCUGUAUUUAACAUUGGUGUUCCAUCCAUACCUGAAUGGAU